CAGGGAGGCCACACCGCUUGGCUGUGGUUUUCGCGGAAGCUUGGGAGAUGUCUUUACACUCCGCCUCUUCCUUCUGCAGUCACGGGAAGCAGUUCGAAGCAGAUCAGAAGUCGAACACGUUUGCUUUUGCGAUUCGAGAGCCCUUUCUGGCGCGGAGCUGGGGGCGGCGUUAGGUAGCCGCCCUGGACUGAGAGCGGCGGUGGCCCGAGGCCAGGGCACCUGGCGGCUCCGCGCUCGCUGCGCGCCUGGGGCGGCCGGGCUCUGUCCGAGGUGCUGAACUCCGGGCUCCGGCCGCGCGGGCGCAGAGUGCCGCCGUCCAUUACUGCCGGUGCCUGCGGGCAUCUUCCAGGCCGAGCGAGCGGGUCAGGUGAGACCAGGGCGAGGAUGCAUUGGACAUGCCAACCCUCAUUCACAAAAAUACAUUGUUACGUUUGGUUGAACUGCCCCACACAGCACACUAAUGUUGGGGUGUAACACACAUCCUUCUAACUCAAGCUGCUUUCAGGGGCUAUUCAACUAAAUGAGAUUGCAUUUGCAUU